rnacentral:rRNA from 1 species
CGGUACCCGGGGAGAUAUAGCUCGUAGUCGAUCUUCUAAGAGUGCUGUCAUGGAGUAAUUCGUGACUGGGACUCUUAUCUGACCGAGACCUUCGUUCGUGCUUCACUGUUACGAUGAAGUAAAUCGGUCACUUUACUGAGAAAAAAUUAGAGUGUUCAAAACAGGCAUUGCGCCUUGAAUACACAAGCUUGGAAUAAUAGAAUAUGACCUGAGUCUUUUUGUUGGUUUGAAGACUUUGGUAAUGGUUAAUAAAAACAGUGGGGGGAUUAGUAUCUUAUUGUCAGGAGAAAAAAUUCUUGGUUUUAUAAAAAACCCACCUAUCCUAUAGCUUA